UACGAAGGGGGCUAGCGUUGCUCGGAAUCACUGGGCGUAAAGGGUGCGUAGGCGGGUUUUUAAGUCAGGGGUGAAAUCCUGGAGCUCAACUCCAGAACUGCCUUUGAUACUGAAGAUCUUGAGUCCGGGAGAGGUGAGUGGAACUGCGAGUGUAGAGGUGAAAUUCGUAGAUAUUCGCAAGAACACCAGUGGCGAAGGCGGCUCACUGGCCCGGUACUGACGCUGAGGUGCGGAAGCGUGGGGAGCAAACAGG
rnacentral:rRNA from 1 species